GGGUGACUAGUGGCAGAGUGAGGGGGGGAAGGGGUGACUAGUGACAGAGUGAGGGGAUGACUGGUGACAGAGUGAGGGGGGGGUGACUGUCACUAGUCACCCCAUCCCUCUCUCUGUCACUAGUUACUCCCUCCCUAACUCUGUCACUGUGUCACCCGCUCCCUCACUCUGUCACUAGUCACCCCCUUACUCUGUCACUGUGUUACCCCCUCCCUCUGUCACUAGUCACCCC